rnacentral:rRNA from 1 species
CAGCCGCCACGGGAAUACGUAGGGUGCAAGCGUUAAUCGGAAUUACUGGGCGUAAAGCGUGCGCAGGCGGUUAUAUAAGACAGAUGUGAAAUCCCCGGGCUCAACCUGGGAACUGCAUUUGUGACUGUAUAGCUAGAGUACGGCAGAGGGGGAUGGAAUUCCGCGUGUAGCAGUGAAAUGCGUAGAUAUGCGGAGGAACACCGAUGGCGAAGGCAAUCCCCUGGGCCUGUACUGACGCUCAUGCACGAAAGCGUGGGGAGCAAACAGGAUUAGAUACCCGCGUAGUCCCUGUCUCUUAUAC